AAUUUGCGAAAGUAGUAAAUGGUAAAAGUGAAUAAAUAGAAUCAAGGUUAAAAGCUUACUUGUAUGCAUAAGAAGAUAACUCCCUCCUCUUUACUUUUGCUUAAAAACAGAUUCUGAGAUUCGGGACUAGCAUCGGUAAUAUAAGUUUUUCUUUCAUACUGUUGAGUACUAGCAUCAGAACCCUUAAUGGUAGGAAGAUCAUCAUCAUGACUACGCCUUUGUUCAAUCGAGUAAACAUUUGCUGGUUCGUGCCAGUCACACUGAGAACAACAAAGUACCUAUUAUUAAAAAUGUUAGCAAGCGAUCGCUAACAAGUUGAAAAGUAAACACCUCCAACUAUUCCAUGGAAAGCAUGUAACAAUGAAGAUCAAUGAAUGGCUAUUAGCUUAACAAACUUGUAAACUCAAAACAGACUAACAACGUUUGUCAGGCACUAAGAGCAAUAAUGGAACAGACUUCAUAUCAAACGCUUUCUUGAAUGUUCUUACCUUAUUCGUAUAAACCGGAAGAACAGGCACAAUGAGAACCGUUACGGUUUUCAACUGACGACAUACUCGGACUAAAAACAAAAUGUUAUGUUAACAUUAAUAAGACAAGUUUAAAAAAAAAAAGAAAGAGCCAAUUGCUUUCGAAACUACUCAACUUGUUUAUUUCUCGUACCAGUCUUCUUUGAACUAAAAAAAAAAAAAAAGCAUUAGCAAAAUGUGUUGUCAAACGGAUAAAAAGAGAACAGGAAGAAGAUUGCUGGAAACAAUUUUAAAACA